rnacentral:rRNA from 1 species
UACGGAGGAUCCAAGCGUUAUCCGGAUUUAUUGGGUUUAAAGGGUGCGUAGGUGGCUUUUUAAGUCAGGGGUGAAAGACGGUAGCUUAACUAUCGCAGUGCCUUUGAUACUGAAGAGCUUGAAUAAACUAGAGGUAGGCGGAAUGUGACAAGUAGCGGUGAAAUGCAUAGAUAUGCCACAGAACACCAAUUGCGAAGGCAGCUUACUAUGGUUUUAUUGACACUGAGGCACGAAAGCGUGGGGAUCAAACAGG